GUCGUGACUCAUGGGCUGGCAAGCCAUUAAUCUUAUCAUUGAUAAGGCCAAGGGCAGAUAUUUUCCUUAUAUAAAGACAGCACACACACACGCACACAACGUGACCAUUAAUGUACACAAGUGUGGAACAGGUUAAAUAGAUCUGACAUGGAACCCCCGUUUUGCAUAUGUCCAUGGGCAUGUGUACAUGUGUAUAUAGUGUGGGAAAUAUCCCAGCCAACUGCAAAUAAGCAGCAAGGUGGAGAUAACAAGCACUGCAUUCAUCACGAAUUACCAGGAAUUCGAAGGGGGUCAAAACUGCAACCCUUUGAGAAUCGCUGGAGGUAAAGCGACUCCUGGGGAGUCUUCCCAGCCGUAUCUUAUGUUUCACCUGGGCACUUGUAUCACCUGUUAAAUCAAUAAGCUGGCGGGACUCAAACAUUUGCUAUAUGAUAACUCGUAUCUUUCUUUUAUAUUAUUUGAAAAGCGAUAUAUGUAAUUAGCUGGUUCAGAAGCUCUAUGUUCUCAUUUAGGGAGUGCAGUUCGUAGGGGAACCCAUUUGGAACUUGGAGCUCGGAACCAUGACGGCUGAACGCAUCGAAACUAAUUGCUGGCCAUGACUGAUGUGCUGAUCUGUUCCGGCGGCUUUCUUCUCCUCCGCCGGAGGCAGUCGGCAGAAGUCUGCGGUUGAUUAAAUAGACGGCGGAACAUCCCAACCACAUCCCAAGCAGGAAUGGCUGAAAGCAGCCGCUUGCAGUGCAUAACACGAGUAUGGAUAGUAUAGAUAUAUGUGCAUAUAUAUGGAUAAAUAUGCCUUUUGGAUUCUUUGUUUUUCCACAGCUCAGUCUGCAGUUGUGGCCUCUUCGUUUUUGGGCUGUUUCCGAAAUAGAAAUUUUUGAUAAGGUUUAUGAGUGCCGUUUUAAAAUAGUGACGUAUGUCUGCGCUAUAAUGGUAUCAGCCAUUAUCGUGCACUAAAUUGUUUAUAGCAUUCUCCUAAUGUUUCUAAUAUUGGGAGAACUAAUCAGGAAAUUUGAAUUUUGAGAACUAGAGUGUAAAGUUGCUUUCUAAUCUCAGCAAAAAACGUAUGAGCUUCAUUUCGAAGUAGUUUCAAAUGUGGCGAGUGAUAAGAAGAAACAUAGAAAUGAUGUAUAAAUUAUAUAUGUUCUUUCCACUGUUUAUUUUGAAUUUAAAACCAAUACCACUUGAUAUACACGAUCGCUUUGCCAAGCCAAUCUACCAAGUUACCAACACAGCGAAAUUGCGAAUAUAGUAUAUACACAAAUUCAAGAAUGAAUAUUUAUUUGUGCGGUGACGCCACCGAAAUUUUUCACAGUCGGCGGUCCAGUUGGAAUGACAGACGACCUGAUAAUACAAACGCAGAUACAGAUACACCGGCUCAGCCACAGAUACAGAUACAGCUACAGAUACGGGGAUACAUGUGUAUUGUGUUCGACAGAGAGCGAGCGGGCUUUCGUCACCAACUUGGACUUCCGUCCUACAAUUUGUUUAAAGUUCGUGUACGUGCCUGGCCAGUUUUAAUUAAUUUCAUUAUGUUUCGCUGACUGUCUGCCUUGUUUAUUAUGCAAUCACACACAUUUUUCCACAAUUUGCAUAUUGAUUUUGGCGUUUUGUUUAUUGGCUUUUCAGCGCUUUUUCCCCGCUCCAUUAGCGACCGCCCGUUAAUUGACAAACAAAACCAGCGAAAUUACAUUUUCAUGCAACAGAGAGCCGGCAAAACGGCGACGGCAACGGCGACUUUGCCUCAUCCUCAUCCAAGUUAGUACAAUAAAAGUUUGAGCGCACAUUUUCAGUGCUUUUUUUAUUGUAAUUGCGCAGAGCGAUUUUAGUGACGAUGAUGUCAUAUGGUCGGCAAUGUGGAGCUGCGGAGUUGUGCGACUGCCAGUAUUUGCCACAACAGUGGACCGCAAACAAACUGGUUGGGCUGCUCGCAUUUGAAAUACAAACAAACAAUCCGAAAAUUGGGUACGAAAACAUAUACUACUAUACCCCAGAGUAUAUAAUAAAAAACCCGUCCGACUGCGGCUGCCAGGGGGCAAGUCCAAGGUUACAGUCGCACUCGCGAACCAGACCCCAUCGAUUCGAUGUGGAGGGGUCAAGCUGCAGGGCAGCGAAAAUAUUUUAAUUAAUUUCAGCCGCGCCCAAAAAGCCACAACGACCCUAACCUUAAACGAGCAGAUCGCAGCUAAACCUUAAAGCAAAAAGAGGGCAAUAAACCUGCACGCAGAAAAACCUUUCGAAACUGCGGUGUAUUGGAAAAUGUUUAUGUUUUCAAUGUACUAUUACUGUACAAUGUACAUUACUGUAUUACAUUACAUUUUAUGUAUUUUAUGUGAGGAACAUAUCUUCUGUACACCUAACGCAUAAACAUUAUUUUUCCGGUGCACGGAAAAUCGAAUCGGAAAAGUGGCGUGAAAUGAAGGCAAGCGGAGGGAGAAGCGACCUUCGUCACUAGCACGACAUGCAGCACCCAGGCGGAGCAAGUGCGUCAAAUCCUUGACUGACUGCGCGCAGGAUAAUGUCGAGGACAAUGCAGGUCAAGGCGACGGGCGGAAGCAGGUGAAACGCCACUAAAUGGCAGCUGGCUGGCAGACAAUAAAUAAGAACGAAAGCAAACAUCGCUCUCUUGUGCAUUCGCAUUCCACGCCCACAUUUCACCCACGACGAAUGGUUCUGUUUGUACGCACAAACAUUUCUAGUUUGGAGGAGCAACAACAUAAUAUACACAAGCGAUUCCGAUUUGGCAAGGCAAAUCAACAGUGGCGGCCACCUAAAUAGGGAGCAUGCCUGUGUACCUAAGUGGCUUAGUCCCGAAUGUAAACAUUGAUUUAUUAAAUACGUUCACGAGUGGAAAACUUAUAUUUGUUUGGCAAAACAACUUGUUUAGUAAAUAUUAAACACACUCUUCAUUUGCAAUGUAUCUGAGAUCUGUGGUUGGAAUUUCUUGGCCGCUGGUGUUCACAAAUACGCGUUGGUUUCUUUCACGAAUUACGAAUUACUCAUCCAAUUCAAAAUGCUUGGCAAGUGUUUUUUUUUUCGUUUUUUUAUGCUGUGCUACCUGACGCACAUGUAUUUAUAUUUAAGCACACCAAAAGUUUAGAGUUUUCGGUGCUUCGGUCGAUUUGAAAGUACUUCCUGUAUGCUUAUUAGACGAAAAGUGAAAAGAGCACCCCACACACACACACACACACACACAAGCACAAGUGCAGCUGAUGACGCUGCAGCUACGAAAAUAGCAUUCAAUUAGACAAGUGAAGGGGUUGGGGGCUGUAGAGGGGGAAAAUAAGGAAAAUGAGUGAAGGGGGAGGGGGAUUGGAGCACGACACAAGAGGAGAUGCCACUUUCUAUGCAAGUGCUCUGACCUAUAUAACCCCGCCUGGGAAACGCCAACGAAACACCAAUGGAACACCAUGAGAUGCACGGCGGAGACGAACAAAUCAACGGCGAAAUAAAUGAGAAAAAUUCCACUAAAUGAAUGAGGGGCUGGUGGGUGGCUAGUGGACGGGGAUUGGGAACUUGGGGCUGGGGACUUGGGGCAAUGGGAAAUGGGACUCGUCGUUCGCCCCUUUCGCUUUCAUUUGAGCACGGGCACAGCGGCAUCGCAGUGAAACGAAAAAGGAAACCCAGUGGAAGUCAAUGCUCUUGUCAUGAGUUCAUGUCGAGCAGUUGCUGCCGCCUUUGCCGGAGACGGAGAUUCGGAUGGCUAUUGUUAAGCCUUUUGCGGCGGGCGACUCCACGUUAUGGGGUCCACAUCGACGACCACUUCCACGUCCCCGUCCACAUCCACAUACACUGCCAUAUCCAUAUCCACAUCCCCAUCCUCAACAAGUCCAAGUCAAUUAGGCAUUUUAGGCACGCAUGCAACUACUUGUAGACGGGAUGAAUAAUGCACUCGGAGAAAUGGCCAUUCCAGUAUCCAUUCCAGUAGUGCAAACAUAUUCCAUCCAAAAAGGAAUGUGUAUUCCAUAGAUGGUAGAUUCGUUGCAAUAUGAGGAAAAUAUAUUGUCAAUCUAAAUAUAUCCUAA